CUUUGUGGCCAUACCGGCUGAUCAAAGCCCGAUCUCGUCAGAUCUCAAAAGCGAAGCAGAGCUGGACCUGGUUAGUACUUGGAUGAGAGACCGCUGGGAAUACCAGGUGCCACUGUGG
rnacentral:rRNA from 1 species